ACUGCAAACAACAGUAAAAACAAAAAACAACAAGGAAAAUGGUUUAAAACAACAAACAACAAAGCCCAAAUUGUCUGUUUUUACAGUGAGUCCGUCUCACUCACUGCUUUGUGUUUAAACCCCCAUUCCACAAGCGGCAGGAGGCUGCACUGAGCAUGCUCAGAAGUCUAUGGAAAGCACAAGGUCUAUUCUAUCAGCACGUUUGGUCAUUUUUCCUAUUGAGCAAACAGUUGAAUUUUUAGAAAUAUUGACAAUAAAUCCUACAUUCCGAACGCUCACCACUGAUACGUCAGGGGUUACGCAGGGGUUAAAUUUUCAUUUUUAUUUAAACAU